rnacentral:lncRNA from 1 species
GAUUCUAAAGCAGCUCAGAAGAGACAGUGGUGUGUGUCCAUUGGACUAACCUAAAUAUCCAUACACCCAUCCGAUUAAACUAACAAUAGCCGGAAACACUUGCCCAAUACUUUUCAGGGGUCCAUCUUAUGUUUUGUGCUUUUGUUGAGCAUUCCGAGCCUUCUUGAGUUGUUUUCACUUGAUUUGAAGCUUGUAUAUCCUUAAUAUAUCAUCAUCAUCCAUUCACCAAGCAUCCUAAAUCAUUAGACACAUCAAUUAAAAUCUCAAAACAACAUAACAUCCUCACCAAUGAACUAGAAACACGAGCUAAGCAUAGGCUAAAUUUACAUUGAGCUUUAACUCAUUGUUUUCACUCUUUUCUUGAUCCAAUUGACCCUUGAACAUUAUAACUAAGUUGUUUCACAUAUAAACACAUAAUAACAACCUUAGUAACUCAUUAAAAUAUAUUAUAACUCAACACAAUAGACUAGAAAAACACCUAGCUCAAGCUAGUCACACUAGUUUUCUCGGUUGAACUCUAAAUGGUCGAAUUGAAUCAAAAUUUGUGUGGAAACACCAUUAAACAUUCUGAACACAUACUUGGACACAUAAUUGCUCAUUUAUAUCAAUAUGAACACAUAUAGCAUAAUAAUCAUCCUCAAAACAAGGCUAAAUAAGCUAGAAUAGUAGUGCUAGAAUGCAUAAAUUCACCCAACAUCACCACCCCAUACUUAAAGCCUUGUUCGUCCUCGAACAAUUAUUAACUAUAAACACCAUGAGCUGAAGAGAAUCCACACUUCUACUAUAUGCAAGACACUCAAGCUAGAACUACAAUGACUACACGAAUGCAAGUUUACAACACUAAGCAUGUUAUACACAAUUGAAAGCUCAUGAACACUACUCCAAAACAACCUAGCCUCAAGAAUUGGCUCACCUAGUUGGCAAACUCAUGCUUAUUGCUCAAUCAAGGACAUCAUAUAAAUCACCCAUAUUCAUCAAACAUGUUCCCCUCACAACAAUAGAGUUACUCAUAACCUCUCAUAAUAAUGCAAUUUAUAUCGUAAUGGGUACAAGAAUGAAAUUACGCUCACUCUCACAAAGAAUUCACAAGUUACACAUAAUGAGCCAUAGGCUUGCCCUUAGUGUAGUGUUCCACUAAUAGUCGAAUGUAAAGCUUAGGAUCAAUUAGGACUUUUUUGGGUUGUAAUGUAGGUAAAAGGACGGGUAGAAACUAUUUUGGCCAAGAAUAGUGACUAACCUCUCUAAGCGCUUUAAUACACUAGAUUAUACAUUUAAAACCAAUCUCCAACAACCAAAUUAUACAACUUUUGUCUACCCAUGUCUUUUAUUUUUGCCCCAUCUCUUUUAAGCAUUUUCACAAAUACUUGGUGGACACAUAGUUUACUACCACAAGAAUCAAUUUUUCUCUUUUUUACAAUCAUGGCAAUAUUUUUAGCAUAAAUUAUAUCACAACCAUCUACCACACAUCAAUUAUACACUAAUAACUAUUACCUUGGGGCAUCAUUUCAACUUUUCGUUCUUCAAUUUCUCAAACUCCUUUCUCAAAUUUAUUUAUUUUUUCAAUUAAAGCACUUAGAAGCCUUUUGGAUCAAAUUAUGGUCUAUCAAAGAAGGGAUUAGGCAACUUAUGAGGAUACCAAAGAAAAGGCUAAAGGCUCAAUGAGGUUUAACUAGAAUAAUGCAUAAGGGUAGGUAAAAAGAUGGUAUAAAACAAGGAUAUCAAAGAAAUUUCUAUAUCAUCUCCUAAACUCACGUUCUUUAUUUCACUUCACACACACACCGGGCAAGUUCUAGACAUCACAUGCAACAAGAAAUAUACAAAAAUCUCACACACACAUGGCACAUGCUUAACUCAAUAGGAUCAUCAUAGACUCCCAACCAAACAAUAGCAUGAAUUUAAAUUUAAGCCACAAGUACAAGAGUCACAAACAUGAGCCUAAGAGUCUAAAAAGUAGUAAUUCUCCAAAAUCACAUUCUUUUACCAACAAACCCACUUGCAUCAGAUAAUCAAAAAUAGCACUAACAAAAAUAUCUCACUUAUUCCUAACCUAAUUUUUUUAAAAAAAAUUGAGUCAAAAUUUGAGAAUUUCCCCACCCCACACUUAAAAAUCUACUUUGUCCCCAAAGUGAAUUUAAAAGUAAGAAAUAGAAAUACUCCUUGAGGCCUCUAGGCCUAGCUAGUAGCACCUUCACAUAAAGGAGAUCCAUGGGACCCACACUCAUUCUUUGCCAUGCUUCAAGUUCAAGUUUAUGGUACUCAGACUUCCCAUUAACCUGUGACUCAACCAAAAACAAAAACUACGUGAAAUAAAAACUAAAAAAAACUGAAAAUAAAACCUACUUACCUUGGGUUGCCUCCCAAGAAGCACCUAAUUUAGUGUCGAGGCAUGACCUAAUCAACUUUUUUCUCCACCUUGAGGAUAUGAAUUUCACUCCCAACAUCGCAUCCAUCUUUUUACCUCGAUCAUAUGGAGGUGGUACAGAGAUUAAUGAACCGAGUAAUGGAUGAUGUAUGAUAAACAACUCGUCCUUGAGGUGAGGUGUGUUUUUAUAUAGCUUAUCCGAUGUAAAAUCAAGAAUAUAGGAUUCUUGUUCCUCAUCUUCACACUCUUCCACAAUUUUAAAUGAUUCCACAGACAAGAUAUCAUCUAAACAUAAUGUAGAAAAGUGCUUGGAGUGCGGCCCAACAAAUCCUACUUCAAAAUUUAUACUAUCCUCAACACUCUCACUCUUAUUCACCUUUUCAAUUUCAGUGUCACGACCUGAUUACUCAAAUCGUGAUGACGCCUACCUUAUCCCACCAGUAGGCAAGCCAAACCAUAGC